UAUAAUGCUAUCGUCUCAUCGUCGUUGUUACGGCCCGGUGACCGUUUUUCGAAAAUAAAAAUUUAAUAUGAGCAGCGAGUUCUUUUUCAUGUGAAAUAGGUACGCGUGCCUUGUUAUUUUUAAAUUCUGAGUGAAGCGAUGGAUGUAUUGGUUUUACAAUGAUGUUUAUUAUUACUAUUAUUUUUUUUUUCAGUGGACAACUUUUUUAUUAGCAAAUUUGUUCUGAUUUUCAAUGAAAGCAACUUUACUGAAAAGAAAUCGGACUGGAGAGGUAUUUACGGGAGGUCAUUUUUUGAUUUU